UUUUUUUUUUUUUUUUUUUUUUUNUUUUUUUUUUGUGAACAGUCUUCAUCUCCUUUCCCUAGUUUCCCAUAGGACCUUCUCUAUUUUUAGAAGCUGUUAAUUUGUGAAAUAAAUUGAAAGUACGUUUUCCCAGUUAUCUGUUGUAUUUUACUUUGGUAUAUUUGGGAUGCAAAAGGUGUCUUUUUGUUUGUUGGUGGGUUGGUUGGUUUGUUUGUUUUUGGCAUAGUCAACGAUCUCUCUGUUGUAUCUGGAGUUUCAAGUCAUACUUAGUCUGGAGAAUUACUUUACUGGCCUUAAAUCUUCACCCUUCUCUGUAUUCCCAUCCUUUGCCAUGUUAAUUUAUAAUCUCUUUCACCAAAGGGGUGGAAAAUAGUUUCCUACUGGUCCAAGAGAACUGAAAGACACGUGGAGCAGAGCUGCCUCAGUGGCGUUUUCAUGCAAUAACUAACCAGUACCGUUAGGAAGUUUUCCUCACUCCCAAGUCACAUAGUAGGGGCUGACAACCGUUAAAAAUAAAAAUAUUUCAGCAAAUAUUUUAGGGUUUACAACCAAUUUUGUUCAUGUCCUUUUCCUCCUCCUAGUUUAUUAAAUCCUUCAAAAGUGAAAAAAAUUCUUAUCUCCCACAGCCUAAAAGUAGACUCACAGGUUUGGACAAGCUGGUCUACUGAGGAAUUCAUCUUACUUUUUUCCAGUCAUUGUAUGGUUUAAUAUUGUACAUCUAAAUCUCUACUCAAUUUGAAAAUUAUCUUGGCACAUAUUGUUAGGAACAGAUCUUUUUUUCAUUUUCUGUAUGGGUAUCCAGUGAUACCAAUACCAUUCAUUUUUAUAGUCCAUCUUUUCCCCCGACUGACUUAAGGCACCACCUUUUUUUUUUUUUUUCCUUGAGGUAUUGUUGAUUUACAAUAUUAUAUUUCAGGUAUACAGCACAGCAAUUCAAUACUUGUAUAGAUUAUACUCCAUUUAAAGUUAUAACAAAAUAGGAGUUCCCAUCGUGGCGCAGUGGUUAAUGAAUCUGACGAGGAACCAUGAGGUUGCAGUUUUGUUUUGUUUUUUAUCUUUUCGCUAUUUCUUUGGGCCGCUCCCGCGCCAUAUGGAGGUUCCCAGAAAAGGCAAAAAAGACAAAAAAAAAAAAAAAAAAGUUGUAACAACAUAAUGGCUAUACAUUCCCUGUGCUAUGCAAUAUAUUCUUAUUGCUUAUCUAUUUUAUAUGUAAUAAUUUGUAUCUCAUAAUUCCCCCUUCUCUCUCUCCAUUGGUAUCUACCAGUUUCUUUUCUAUAUCUGUGGUUCUGUUUCAUUAUGUACAUUCAUGUAUUUUUUAGAUUCUACAUAUAAGUGAUAACAUAAUUUUGUCUCCCUCUGACUUAUUUCACUAAGCGUAAUACUCUCUAGGCCCAUCCACUUGUUGCAAAUGGCAGAAUUUCAUUUCUUUUUUAUGGCUGAGUGAUACUCCAGUGUGGAUAUAUAGAGAGGUCCUUCAUCUGUUGAUGGACACUCAAGUUGCUUCCACAUCUUGGCUAUUGUAAAUAAUGUUGCUAUGAACAUUUCAUGCGUCUUUUCAAAUUAGUGUUUUUGGGUUUUUUGGAUAUAUACUCAGGAAUGGAAUUCUUGUGUCAUAUGGUAGUUCUAUUUUUAGUUCUUUGAGGGGGUUUUUGGGGGGUUUUUUGUUUGUUUGAGGUUUAGCUGAUAAACAAUAUUAUAUAAAUUUUGGGUGGACAAUAUAUUCACAAUUUCUUUUUUAAAAAAUUCUAAAGUAUAGUUGAUUUACAAUGUUCUGCCAAUUUCUGCUGUAUAGCAAAGUGACCUAAUCAUUCAUAUAUAUAUUCUUUUUCUCAUAUUAUCUUCCAUCAUGGUCUCACCAUUUCUAAAGUUUAUGUUCUAUUUAUAGUUAUUACAAACUACAGGCUAUGUUCUCUGUGCUGCAAAAUAUAUCCUUGUAGCUUAUUUAUUUUAUACACUUUAUGUCUCUUAAUCUCCUACCCCCUCCACUGGUAACCACUAAUCAGUUCUCUAUAUCUGUGAGUCUGGUUUUGUGUGUUUUACUAGUUUGUUGUGUUUUUUAAGUUCCACAUCAUACGGUAUUUAUCUUUCUCUCUCUGACUUAUUUCACUUAGCAUAAUCCCAAGUCCAUCCAUGUUGCUGCAAAUGACAAAAUUUCUUUCUUUUUAUGGCUGAGUAGAAUUUCAUUGUGUGUGUACCACAUCUUAAUCCAUUCAUCUGUUGGUGAACAUUAAGGUUGCUGCCAUUAUCUUGGCAACUGUGAAUAAUGCUCCUUUGAACAUUGGGGGUGCAUGAAUCUUUUUCAAUUAGUGGUUUCACUUUUUUUCAGAUAUUUGCCUGGGAGUGGAAGGUGCCAGGUCCCAUGCUAGUUCCAUUUUUACUUUUUUUGAGAAACCUCCAUACUGUUUUCCACAGUGGCUGCACUAAUUUUCAUUCCUACCAUCAGUUUAGGAAGAUUCCCUUUUCUCCAAUCCUUGCCCAAAAUUUGUUAUUUGUGUCCUUUUUGAUGAUAGCCAUUCUGAUAUGUGUGAGGUGAUGGCUAAUUGUGUUUUUAAUUUGCAUUUUUCUGAUGAUGAAUGAUGUUGGACAUCUUUUCAUGUACCUGUUGGCCACCUAUAUGUCUUCUGCCCAUUUCUUAAUUGGAUUGUUUGUUUUUUGAUGUUGAGUUGUAUAAGCUGUCUUAUAUAUUUUGGAUAUUACCCCUUUAUCAAUCACAUCAUUUGCAAACAUUUUCUCCCAUUCAGUAGGUUGUCUUUUCCUUUUACCGAAGGUUUCCUUUGCUGUGCAAAAGCUUUUAGGCUUAAUUAGGUCCUAUUUGUUUAUUUCUGCUUUUAUUUCUUUUGGAGACAGACCCAAAAAAAUUCUCUUCUAGUUUUAUGGUUUCAGGUCGUAGAUCCAUUUUGAGUUUAUUUUUGUGUGUGGUGUGAGGAAAUAUUCUAAUCUCAUUGUUUUACAGGGAAUAGCCCAGUUUUCCCAGCACUGCUUAUUGAAGGGACUGUCUUCUCUUCAUUGUAUAUCCUUGCCUGCUUUGUUGUAGGUUAAAUGACCACAGGCAUGUGGGUUUAUUUCUGGGCUUUCUAUUUAUGUUCUGCUGACUUAGGUGUGUGUUUUUGAAGUCGCAAUCUUUAUUGUAUCUUGAAUUUUCAUAUGCAGUUGGGUCUAUUUCUGAAUUUUCUAUUGUGUCCCAUUGGCCCAUUCAUGUGCCUAAACCACAUUUUCAUUUUAGAGGCUUUAUGUUUUAAUACCCUCCCUUUCCCAAGUGCUCUCUUUUUUUGGGUUUUCUUGAGCUAGUCUUGAUCAUUUAUUCUUCCAAAUGAACUUUAAACCAUCAACAUGCCGGGAUCCAGAAGGAGCUAGACAUUUCCAGCAUUUUCAACGGAUCACACAAAAUCUUUCUACAAAGAAUAUGCAGUCUUGGAUUUUAAACUAUUUACUAGACUUGUUUAAUGUUACAGGACUAAUCAUAUCUUUCUAGAUAUGUGUCCAUUUUGUCUAAACUUUCAGAUUUAUUG
rnacentral:lncRNA from 1 species